rnacentral:rRNA from 1 species
UACGUAGGGGGCGAGCGUUGUCCGGAUUCAUUGGGCGUAAAGCGCGCGCAGGCGGUGGCGUGAGCCCGGCGUGAAAGCCCCCAGCUCAACUGGGGGAGGCCGUCGGAGACCGCGGCACUUGAGGCCGGUAGGGGAGAGCGGAAUUCCCGGUGUAGUGGUGGAAUGCGUAGAUAUCGGGAGGAACACCAGUGGCGAAGGCGGCUCUCCGGACCGGUUCUGACGCUCAGGCGCGAAAGCGUGGGGAGCGAUCCGG